CCUACGGGUGACAGCAGUGAGGAAUAUUGGUCAAUGGUCGGAAGUCUGAACCAGCCAUGCCGCGUGCAGGAAGAAGGCUCUAUGAGUUGUAAACUGCUUUUGUCCAGGGGUAAACCUGGAGACGUGUCUUCAGCUGAAAGUACUGUACGAAUAAGGAUCGGCUAACUCCGUGCCAGCAGCCGCGGUAAUACGGAGGAUCCAAGCGUUAUCCGGAUUUAUUGGGUUUAAAGGGUGCGUAGGCGGGUUGAUAAGUUAGAGGUGAAAUGUCCGGGCUGAACGCGGGAACUGCCUCUAAUACUGUUGGUCUAGAGAGUAGGAGCGGUAGGCGGAAUGCAUGGUGUAGCGGUGAAAUGCUUAGAGAUCGUACAGAACACCGAUUGCGAAGGCAGCUUGCCAACUUAACUCUGACGUUGAGGCACGAAAGCGUGGGGAGCGAACAGGAUUAGAUACCCCAGUAGUC
rnacentral:rRNA from 1 species